rnacentral:lncRNA from 1 species
AAUAGAAAAAUAAUAAUGCUAAAUAAGCUUUAAUCAAAUUUAAAAAAACUUCAAAAGAAUUCUAAAGAAACAAUAAAAAAACUUAAAGAAAUAUUAGAAUGAUUACAAAUAUAUCUCAAAUACAUCUCAAUUCAAUCUUAAUUUAAUCUUACUUGAAAUCUUACUUCAUUCAAACUUUAGGCCAAAAACUAACUAAAUCUUAUAUCUUAAAUAAACUCAAAUAAAACUUUAAAUCCUAAAUCAAAUCCUAAUCAAAUCCUAAAUCCUAAAUCAAAUCUUAAUCAAACCCUAAAUCUUAAUCUUAAAUCAAAUCCUAAUCAAAUCUUAACUCUAAUCUUAAAUCCUAAAUGAAACUUUAACCAAACCCUAAUUAAAUCCUAAAUCCUAAUCCUAAAUCAAAUCCUGAUCCUAAUCUUAAAUCCUAAACCAAACCUUAAUCAAAUCCUAAUCCUAAAUCAAAUCCUAAUCAAAUCCUAAAUCCUAAACUCUAAACCAAAUCCUAAUCCUAAAUCAAACCCUAACCAAAUCCUAAUCAUAAAUCAAAUCCUAACCAAAUCUUAAUCCUAAAUCAAACCUUAAUCAAAUCUUAAUCCUAAAUCA